UACGAAGGGGGCUAGCGUUGUUCGGAAUUACUGGGCGUAAAGCGCGCGCAGGCGGCUAUCCAAGUCAGUGGUGAAAGCCCGGAGCUCAACUCCGGAACUGCCAUUGAAACUGUUUAGCUUGAGGAUGAGAGAGGUGAGUGGAACUGCGAGUGUAGAGGUGAAAUUCGUAGAUAUUCGCAAGAACACCAGUGGCGAAGGCGGCUCACUGGACCGAUACUGACGCUGAGGCACGAAAGCGUGGGGAGCAAACAGG
rnacentral:rRNA from 1 species